GGCUCUGGCGUCUCUGAGCAUGCAUUUUUUCGUUCAUCCGCCAAAUGCUUCUUGAGCACCUGCUCUGUGCUGGACGCCGCUCUAGAUGCACCGACCAAGCCAAGUCCCUGCCUGCUGAGCGCACCUUCUGGCAGUGAAGACAAAAAAGAAAACCACGAGGGGCGAGAUACAGUGUCCACCACAAGUGCCAGGAAGAACACACGUGGCCGUUGCGGGAUGCGGGGAAGUCAGCAUGCAACAUUUCUCCUGCAAACCUGAGGACCAUGGUUAUCGCAAGGAAAAGCACUUCAUGGUUGAGUUACCAGCCAAACUAGCCCCUGUGUGUAUUAUGGAGCAUCAUUUUUACUUGGAAGAAUAACUUGCUGACUGUGGUAAUUCAGACUUGAGUGUUUGGCAGACAUUUUCUUGAAAAUAAAAGAAGGGAGCCUGUCCCUUCAAGGAAAACUGCUGAAAUAUUUGUUGGCAAUCAUAAAAUUUGAGCUUUCGAGUGAAAAUUAGCAAUUGGAAAACUUGUAUCGAGCACUGUGAGCUUGACAGCUUCCCAACACUUGAAUACUUUUCUGACGACAUUGGUGGUGAUAUUAACGAACAUGAUUUUUAAAUCUUAUAUAACGAAAACACUUGGAAACUCUGCUAAAAGCAAAAAAAGAAUAUUUUCCAAAUGACCAAAACAUGGUGUUACAAAAUCAUGGAUGGGUGAAAGAUCCAUGCAAAAAGCAAUCCAUUUAUGUUUAAAUGUAUUGAAAUAUAACAAAGUACAGAAAAUUCAUCGUUACAGUUUCAGAUUCCACACUGCAACUAACCUUUAAGGGAAAACUAUCAAUUGUUAAGUUUUGGUAUAGUAUCAAAGAAGGAUGCCUACAAUUAUCUAAAAAGGCCAUUACAAUAUCCUACUUUUUCCAACUGCUUAUCUGUGGGAGGUCAAAUUUUCUUCAUCUACUUCAACAAAAAUAACAUUGCAACAGCUUGAACACAAGCAGAUAUGAGAAUUCAGCUGUCUUCUAUUAAGCCAGAUAUUUAAAGAGAUUUACAAAAAUGUACAAUAAUGCCACUCUUCUCCCAAAUGUGUUUGUUCUGGAA
rnacentral:lncRNA from 1 species